GCCCAGACUCCUACGGGAGGCAGCAGUGAGGAAUAUUGGUCAAUGGGCUUACGCCUGAACCAGCCAAGUCGCGUGAGGGAAGACUGCCCUAUGGGUUGUAAACCUCUUUUGUCAGGGAGCGAUUGGCGCUACGUGUAGCGUUAUCGAGAGUACCUGAAGAAAAAGCAUCGGCUAACUCCGUGCCAGCAGCCGCGGUAAUACGGAGGAUGCGAGCGUUAUCCGGAUUUAUUGGGUUUAAAGGGUGCGCAGGCGGAGGUGCAAGUCAGCGGUCAAAUUGCGGGGCUCAACCCCGUACUGCCGUUGAAACUGCAUCCCUUGAGUGCGCGAGAAGUAUGCGGAAUGCGUGGUGUAGCGGGGAAAUGCAUAGAUAUCACGCAGAACUCCGAUUGCGAAGGCAGCUUACUAAACUGCCACUGACAUUGAUGCUCGAAAGUGUGGGUAUCAAACAGGAUUAGAUACCCCGGUAG
rnacentral:rRNA from 1 species